rnacentral:rRNA from 1 species
CCUACGGGAGGCAGCAGUGGGGAAUAUUGGGCAAUGGGCGCAAGCCUGACCCAGCAACGCCGCGUGAAGGAAGAAGGCUUUCGGGUUGUAAACUUCUUUUCUCAGGGACGAAGCAAGUGACGGUACCUGAUGAAUAAGCCACCGCUAACUACGUGCCAGCAGCCGCGGUAAUACGUAGGUGGCAAGCGUUAUCUGGAUUUACGGGGUGUAAAGGGCGUGUAGGCGGGGACGCAAGUCAGAUGUGAAAACCACGGGCUCAACCUGUGGCCUGCAUUUGAAACUGUGUUUCUUGAGUACUGGAGAGGCAGACGGAAUUCCUAGUGUAGCGGUGAAAUGCGUAGAUAUUAGGAGGAACACCAGUGGCGAAGGCGGUCUUCUGGACAGCAACUGACGCUGAGGCGCGAAAGCGUGGGGAGCAAACAGGAUUAGAUACCCGUGUAGUC